UUUACAAAAGAAAAAAUUGUCGUCGUCAUCAAUUGCAUCCGUAUGCUGCUGCCUAUGCUUCUUUAAAUGUGCAGUCCUCCGCGACUUUCUCUUCUUUUUCUCACACAUUUCUUCGAUAGGAAGCUUCAUCCUUAAACCUUCUUGAUCGCUUUCGCCUUUGAUUCAACUGCCGGUGAGAUUUCAGAGGUCUCUGGUGGAGGUGGUGAAACUACCUUUAACUUGUGUAGUUGCUACGAGAAGAUGGUCAUGAACGAUUAUGAUUCUGAUGCGAUUCGUUGGGGUCUUCGUUUUUUCAAUGGGGACUCAAAUGGGGACUCAAAUGGGGACAUGCCGUACAGUACCGAGUACUUGCCUGACACGGCACAACAUGAUGUCAAUUUCUAUGAGCAUUAUUAUGGAAAUAAUUACAAUAAUGAGGUUAACAAUGUGGAGAACGACGAAAUUAUUGCACACACUCUUCAGGAGGAGUUUUCCCAAUUAGAGAUUGCGGAGGCCUCAGGAUAUUCAAAUGUAGAAGAUCCGUCCCAAGCAUCGAAGUUUGCGCUUGGUUGGAACAAUCCCUCCUCAAGGAACUACAGUUCAGAAAAUGAUUCUGUUGAAGAUGAAGUUGAAACUGUGGAGCCUUCUAGUUCAUGCUCUAGUCCAGGUCAAGGGGAUAAUUAUUAUCCAUAUGGGCAUGAUAAUCAAGUAGAUUGGAGAAUGGAUCAAAUGAUUCCAGCACCUCAUGUCCCAAGAAUUAAUGGUGAGAUUCCUUCAAUUGAUGAAGUAACUUCAGAUCAUCAAAGGUUGCUGGAUAGGUUGAAGGUAUAUGAUUUUGUUGAACGCAAGGUGAAAGGGGAUGGUAAUUGUCAGUUCCGUGCUUUAUCAGAUCAACUAUUUGGAACCUCUGAUCGCCACAAGUUGGUGAGAGAAAAUGUUGUGAGUCAGCUCAAAUCACAUCGGGAGAUUUACGAGGGAUACGUUCCCAUGCCAUAUGAUGAUUAUUUGGAAAAGAUGUCCAUGAGUGGUGAGUGGGGUGAUCAUGUAACACUACAGGCAGCUGCAGAUUGGUAUGGCGUCAAAAUAUUUGUUAUGACUUCUUUUAAGGAAACCUGUUGUAUUGAGAUUCUCCCUAAUUUUCAGAAGAAAAAGCAAGUCAUUUUCCUGAGCUUUUGGGCAGAGGUGCAUUACAAUUCAAUCUAUCCUCAAGGAGGUGUUUCCUCAGUUGCAGAUGAGCAAUCAUCAAAUGACUCAAGAAAGAGGAGGAAAUGGUGGAUUUUUGGAAACAAGCAUUAAAACUCCGGGCAAAAGGUGCAAUAAGCCCUAACCUCUACUGCAUCUUACACUUAGAUACUCAGUGGUUUUCUAUAAAUUUCAAGAAGAUUAUUUUUUUCAAUAACUCCGUCUGCAGUUUAUUAUACGAACAAAGAAUUCGAGGGAAGAUUCCAGAACAUUCAUACUGAUUUCAAUGAUUGGACUUCAAUCUUUUCAAUUUGUAACCACAGAAACUCGGAAUGUUCCUGAUUCUGUCCCCAAUUCCAUACCCCACUGAAAAAUCUAAUGAUUGGGAACUCAUAAGACCAUGUUGAUAAUGGUGGGUCCAUUCAAUCAGAAGACAGAGAAGAUAUUUAAAUGUAAACGAAAAGAAAAGGGGGAAAAAAA